UUGACCAUCACCACCUAUCUAUUAGAUCAAUCACCACUUAUCUAUUAGAACUUUCUUACAUAACCAUUUGUUUAAUUAUAUGAUAUGUUUCAACCUGAAGAGAUUUGUGAUCCACAUCUUCAUACCCGUUGGUUGAGCAAAUCACUACCCUCCACCUUUGAAAGUCGGCUCGAUUGUAAAAUUCUACCGGUUUGGAGUUGGAAGGUGCACUAACAGAUAAGUGGUGGUUUGAAUUGGUAAAAUAGCAGAACAAGAGCGGUUAGGUCUGAGUGAGAGGGGCUGUAAGGAAAUCUCCGUCGCUGCCUCCGCGUCACCGAUGGAUGGUUGCAAAAGCUGGAAGGUGAGAAUUUUCAGAUUCUUUUGUUGGUUGAUGGAUUUCUCUAAUAGUUUUGUUUUUUCAGCUAAUGGAGGAAGCGUGCGCAACAAAAGGAACUCGAGGCUGAAGAAAACGCCAAGAAUAUCCCCAUGAGCGCCUUCUUCAAGCAAUUAAUGCAUGAGUUGGAAGAUGAGAUUGAGAUCCAGAGCCAACUUGAUUACCAUGUGAGAUUCUUUCUUCUCAAUCUUGUGUUUAUAUGAAUAUAUAUGUAAGGUUUGAUCAUUAGUUGUAGUUAUGUGAUUGAGAUUGUGUCUAAAUUAAUUGCAUUUGUUUCUGGUAAGAUUUUUUUCAAGGAUAUCGCCUAAAGCGAGAAAGAAGAGAAGUUAUUACUAAAUGCAUUCUUUAACAAGGAUGGGGCUUCAAUAGCAAAACGUCUCUCUGAGACUAUUACUUUUCUAUCAACAAGCUUGAAGAUAAACAUAUUGCAUCAACAGGUUUUGCUUGAUAACUAUACAUGUUUCGAAAGUCUUUACUUUUUCUUCUGUAUGAUUUAACUCUCACUCUCUUGCUGGAUGAAUAUCCUGUUGUAGGCUCAGCUUGUAUUUCAGAAACUGACUACUAUAGAAAGUAACGCCUCUCUUUUUACCCUUCUCCUGAAAAAAAAAAAUCAUUCCUACAAAUUGCACCGCAUUUUUAGUUUUUGUAUCUGAUAAACUGUUGCAGUCUGGGAGAGUUUAUGUGUCUAUACACACACGGUAAAUAAAAGAAAAUAUUACAUUCAAAGACACUUUUCAUCUUUAAUAUUUCACCAUAGGACACUUUCCUCUCCCAAGACACUUUCCUCUUGUCACUAGCAGAAAAUAAAAUUUAAAUUAUUUAAAUCAUAAUUUAUAAAACAGUUUUCACAUCUAUAAUCAAGAACAAUUGUCUUCUGUCAUCAUCAUCAUCGGUUCCUUCUGGGAGAGAAUAGUUCAAAAAAAAGAAAGAGAAUAGGAGACCACAAAGUUGCCACGCCUUCUGUUGAAUUGCGACCAUCUUCUCACUUCAACCCGAGGCUGAGCUCGAUUCCGACCACCACUCUCCAUGAUCUCCUCUUGUCGAAAUUGUGCUCCUCUGCAACACGAAAACCACUGUGGCCACCGUCGAGAAGCUCCGGAGUCGCCUUCUCUCUGAGUUCUCUCUACCGCUAUCAAAGCCCAAGCCACUGUGGCUGCGCCCGAUUCUGACCACCACUCCAUGAUCUCCUCUCACCGGGAUUGUGCUCCAUUGUAACACGAACACCGCUGUAGCCACCGUCGAGAAGGUCCGAAUCGCCGUCUCUCCGAGUUCUCUCCAUCGCAAUCCAUCGUCGCGAGUCUCAGUUCGCCUUUGCAGCUCCUCUCCACCGAAAUCAAAGCCUAAGCCACCGUGAGAGCACUGUCGAAGCCAUCUACUACGUCGCUGUGCUCAGCUCUGCCGGUUUCGUGCUCUCUGUCGUGACUGUCUCGAAUCUGAGAUCAACAAUCGGGGGCUUCCUGCGUUUUCUGCAACUACAUCUUGGAGAUGCUUAGUUUACCAGGGCUUCGCGACCGCUGCUUCUCUGUUCAAUCUGGGACACAAUCCACCUUCACCUCACUACGACCAAGAUGUGAUACAGAUGCAAAACAUAUGGUUGACAACUGAGAUUGGAGUGAAAAAUAGAGAUGCGGCGGAGAGAAUCGUAGGUUGAGGAUGAGAGGGUUUGAAUUUUAUAAUUAAUAAAGAAAAAAUAAACCAGAAAGUUCACUACUUUUGUUGCUUUAACAAAGGGCAACAAUGUAAACAACCACGAUAAAAGUACCUUGGUAGCUGAAACUAACCCAAAAUGUAAUAAAAUCAUAUAAAGUGACCUUGACUGUAGAAAACUCUAAAUAAAACUCAUCUUACUAGACAAGAAAA